AACGCUGGCGGCGUGCCUAACACAUGCAAGUCGAGCGAGAAAAGGGGAGCAACUCCCUGAGUACAGCGGCGCACGGGUGAGUAACACGUGGGUAAUCUGCCCUGGAGUGGGGAAUAACACCGGGAAACCGGUGCUAAUACCGCAUACGAUCACGAUGUCUGCGGACGUUGUGAUGAAAGGAGCAAUUCGCUCCAGGAGGAGCCCGCGGCUGAUUAGCUAGUUGGUGAGGUAAUGGCUCACCAAGGCAACGAUCAGUAUCCGGUCUGAGAGGAUGGUCGGACACACUGGAACUGAGACACGGUCCAGACUCCUACGGGAGGCAGCAGUGGGGAAUUUUUGGCAAUGGGGGAAACCCUGACCAAGCAACGCCGCGUGGGUGAUGAAGUCUCUUGGGACGUAAAACCCUUUCGACGGGGAAGAAAACCGCAAGGUUUGACGGUACCCGUAGAAGAAGCCCCGGCUAACUCCGUGCCAGCAGCCGCGGUAAUACGGGGGGGGCGAGCGUUGUUCGGAAUUACUGGGCGUAAAGGGUGCGUAGGCGGUGCUCUAAGUCGGAUGUGAAAACUCUGGGCUCAACCCAGAGCCUGCAUCCGAAACUGGAGUGCUAGAGUUCUGGAGGGGGUAGCGGAAUUCCUGGUGUAGCGGUGAAAUGCGUAGAUAUCAGGAGGAACACCGGUGGCGAAGGCGGCUACCUGGACAGAAACUGACGCUGAGGCACGAAAGCUAGGGGAGCAAACAG
rnacentral:rRNA from 1 species